CGGAGUAGGUAUAGUUGGUGCGGUUGGAGGUCGGAUUAAGUUCUCACCACAAAACGAACCACUCCAGAGUUGGAUUGAAAGC